rnacentral:rRNA from 1 species
CGACGCUGGCGGCGUGCCUAACACAUGCAAGUCGAACGGAGCUAUUGACUUCGGUUGAUAGCUUAGUGGCGAACGGGUGAGUAACGCGUGAGCAACCUGUCUUUCAGAGGGGGAUAACAACGAGAAAUCGUUGCUAAUACCGCAUAAGACCACACUGUCGCAUGGCAGAGGGGUAAAAGGAGCAAUCCGCUGAUUGAGGGGCUCGCGUCCCAUUAGAUAGUAGGUGAGGUAACGGCUCACCUAGUCUGCGAUGGGUAGCCGAGCUGAGAGGCUGAACGGCCACACUGGAACUGAGACACGGUCCAGACUCCUACGGGAGGCAGCAGUCGAGAAUAGUCUACAAUGGCCGGAAGGCUGAUAGUGCGACGCCGCGUGAACGAGGGAGCCCUUCGGGGUGUAAAGUUCUUUUCUAUACGAGCAGUGCUAUAUAUAUGGAUAGUAUAUAUAGAGGGAUAGUAGUAUAGGAAUAAGCAACGGCUAACUCCGUG